UGUUCAGGGGGAGGGAAGGGGUGCGGAGGAGAGCAUGGAGCCAAGGAGUGCGCGAUAACUGUCUUUGGGUCCGCCGCUCGCGGGCGGUCCUGGCUCGGCUGCUGCAAGGGAUGCAGCCUCUGCUCUGGCUGCAGGCUGUCGGAGGGGCACAAGUACCAACCUCCCUGGGAAAAGGGUUGCAGGAGAGAAAAUCACUUGACCAAUUGGGGGAAGAACAUGAUGUCCUCCAGCUUGCUUUUACGACUCUGUGUAGCUUGUCUUGAAAGUUGUUCUGGAUGCCGGACACACCACUGCUGGUGCUGUUUCUCUUGAUGUGGACAGUGAGGAGGAAAAUAAGGCGAUGGUGCCAAAUGAGAAUGAAAAGUGAAAUGUGGCUCACACUUGGAGAUGCGGGAGUUUCUAAUGGUGACAGGAGAAGACUACAUUUAAAAAAAAAAGACCAAAGCUCCAGAUGAUUCUUCUGCUCCUUUGGGUAAACAACACUACCAGCAAAGUAAACCUGUUUAUGAAAUCACCCAUAAAAAAAAAAAGAAAAACAACAAACAAACAAACAAACAGAAAAAGAUGUAGAAAUUGUCUCGUGUAACAUUUUGGAAGGCAUAUUUUUGAUAUCACUCUGUUGAUAAUCUGGUUACCAAAGUCAGUGAUGAUUCCAGUAUUUCCCUAGUUUUUUCAGUAACACAACCUAGAACUCUUGCUAUAUGCAAUAAUAUGAACCGUAAAUGUGAUUUAUUCAAUUUUAAGAAUCAAUAUAUAAGGCAGUUCCUUCCAUCGAUUGAUCAUCUAAUAUGAUUAAAUGUAAAGCUUAACAAAGAACCACAUUCCCAGUAUCCGAUUCACAACGACAGAUUUGGUUUAAAAAUAUGCCUGAAACAUAUUACAGAUAAUAUCCCAGAUGAUUAUUAUGUAAACAAUGUUAUUACAAUGAAAUUAAUUUGAUAUGAGCUUCAUUUCACAUUUUUAACUUCAGCGCUGUAACACAGAGGCCUAUUUAAUUUGUCCAGUAUUUGUGCAGGGUUUUAAAUGAAGCAUACAAAAUCUACAAUGUUCUACCUUCUUGUCAUGAGGAUCCAUCUGUUUCCAAUUAUUGGCCUUUAACUGAUGAAGUUCAUCAAAUUUCAUACUAAUAUUUUCUAUGGACAACUGCAGCAUAUCCCAAAACCCUGCUAAAUCCUGGGAGGUCGGCCGUGGAUGUGCAUUAGGAUUCUGUGCAACAGAAGAAAAAAAAACAGUUUGGCUUUAGUACCUCUUAAUGUAAAGCAUUUGUGCAAACGGUUACGAAUCUUGCUAGCAAAGCAGUUUCAGCAGAUCCAAAUGAUCAGCGAGACACGGAGAGGAAAUUCAGGGAAACAAAGGCGAGCACUACUUACUCGCUGGGUUUUUGCAAGGAGCCUGGCUCCGGUUCGAGCAGCUGUGCCCCCGCAAGCCCCAGCUCCCCGACGGCAGCAGCCACCCGCGGAGGACCUCGGGGAAAGGGCGUUGCAGGUCCCCUGUAACAGGAUCUGCUUGAGCCUGUUCCCCGGCACAGCCAGGGGGUUCACGGGUGAGAUCCUGACCAUGCUGAAAUGCAUUGCUGGCCUCCUCCUCGCUUUAAUGAGGCAGGAUUCCCUGCUAUAUUUAUGCUUGUAGAAAGACUGGAACCUGUGCAAAUGUACAUUUGCUGCAAACAGUGACAUAUUGAUGCAUGAAUACUUUUUUCCACACACUGAAACUCUAAGGGCCAAUACACCAUUUCAAGUAAAAAUGUCUGUUACACACCUCAGGCCAAUUUCUUCAUAUUUGUUGGCAAGAAUAAUCUUUGCAUAGUGAAAAGCUCUGACGAGAACAUGCACAAACACAGUAAUCCCACUUUUAUGGGCACAUUUUUGGGAAGAGUGGUAUGCUGAGCACAGUGCCCGAGCCCCAUCCUGACAGAGAUACCAUGGCCAGGGCACCCUCGUCCCUAUGCCACAUAUCUCAGCUGUGCUACGUUGGACGUGCCACGCAGAUGUUUUGCAUGUGCGCGGCUCAUCUUCUGCAGGCUUGUCCUGCAGGCACGGGGUGACAGCAUGGGGAGCUGAAUGCACUGACACUGGGACACGUGUGGCUAGCGCUGCUCUAUGCGCACAAACUCAGGCCAGCUCAUCACUCUCCCAGCACCGCCUCAGAAAAGCAGCGAGUCCAUUAGUGUCUUUAACACAACAUGAGCUGGGCCAGUGGCUGGUGACUGGAGAGGUUCUGUUCAGUCUUGUGUUCCUCCACUGCAAUCAAGCUCUGAAAACUUUAUGUAUGCAAUGGACAUAUAGGAAAUGCUCCUCUGGCAAAGUUUGUAUGAGAGAAAGCUUUCUGCAGGAUGUGUAUUUUAAAGCUAGUUCCCGAUUGAAACUAUUCAAAUAAAAUGAGAUGUUGCA